rnacentral:sRNA from 1 species
UAUAUCAAGUAUCACGCCGAAGACAGCAGGUGCCUUAGGGCAUAAGCAUGAUAACGCCUGCCGAGGAAGAUAAGAGAAUCUUAGAUAGAGAUCCUUAUGCCUCUUAUGCCUUGCGGUAUAGGAGUUUUUUUAUA